rnacentral:rRNA from 1 species
GUAGUCUGCAACUCGACUACAUGAAGCUGGAAUCGCUAGUAAUCGCGAAUCAGAAUGUCGCGGUGAAUACGUUCCCGGGUCUUGUACACACCGCCCGUCACACCAUGGGAGUCGGAAAUGCCCGAAGUCAGUGACCUAACCGAAAGGAAGGAGCUGCCGAAGGUGGAGCCGGUAACUGGGGUGAAGUCGUAACAAGGUACC